rnacentral:rRNA from 1 species
GACGAACGCUGGCGGCGUGCUUAACACAUGCAAGUCGAACGGAAAGGCCCUGCUUUUGUGGGGUGCUCGAGUGGCGAACGGGUGAGUAACACGUGAGUAACCUGCCCUUGACUUUGGGAUAACUUCAGGAAACUGGGGCUAAUACCGGAUAGGAGCUCCUGCUGCAUGGUGGGGGUUGGAAAGUUUCGGCGGUUGGGGAUGGACUCGCGGCUUAUCAGCUUGUUGGUGGGGUAGUGGCUUACCAAGGCUUUGACGGGUAGCCGGCCUGAGAGGGUGACCGGCCACAUUGGGACUGAGAUACGGCCCAGACUCCUGCGGGAGGCAGCAGUGGGGAAUAUUGCACAAUGGGCGGAAGCCUGAUGCAGCAACGCCGCGUGCGGAAUGACGGCCUUCGGGUUGUAAACCGCUUUCGCCUGUGACGAAGCGUGAGUGACGGUAAUGGGUAAAGAAGCACCGGCUAACUACGUG